rnacentral:rRNA from 1 species
GCAAGUCGAGCGGACAGAUGGGAGCUUGCUCCCUGAUGUUAGCGGCGGACGGGUGAGUAACACGUGGGUAACCUGCCUGUAAGACUGGGAUAACUCCGGGAAACCGGGGCUAAUACCGGAUGCUUGUUUGAACCGCAUGGUUCAAACAUAAAAGGUGGCUUCGGCUACCACUUACAGAUGGACCCGCGGCGCAUUAGCUAGUUGGUGAGGUAAUGGCUCACCAAGGCAACGAUGCGUAGCCGACCUGAGAGGGUGAUCGGCCACACUGGGACUGAGACACGGCCCAGACUCCUACGGGAGGCAGCAGUAGGGAAUCUUCCGCAAUGGACGAAAGUCUGACGGAGCAACGCCGCGUGAGUGAUGAAGGUUUUCGGAUCGUAAAGCUCUGUUGUUAGGGAAGAACAAGUACCGUUCGAAUAGGGCGGUACCUUGACGGUACCUAACCAGAAAGCCACGGCUAACUACGUGCCAGCAGCCGCGGUAAUACGUAUGUGGCAAGCGUUGUCCGGAAUUAUUGGGCGUAAAGGGCUGGCAGG